AACGCACAUUGCGCCCCUUGGUAUUCCGAGGGGCAUGCCUGUUCGAGCGUCAUUAUAACCCUCAAGCUCUGCUUGGUAUUGGGCGUCACCCUUGGGUGCGCCUUAAAACCAGUAGCGGUGCCGUCUAGCCCUGAGCGUAGUAAAUUUUCUCGCUAUGGGUGCUUGGUGGAUGCUCGCUAGCAACCCCAAAUUAUUCUGGUUGACCUCGGAUCAGGUAGGAAUACCCGCUGAACUUAA
rnacentral:misc_RNA from 1 species